rnacentral:rRNA from 1 species
AGAGUUGGAUCCUGGCUCAGGACGACCUCUGGCGGCGUGCUUCACACAUGCAAGUCGAACGGUUCUAGAGGUUAGAGAUUAGAGGUUAGAAGUUGGAAUCUGUAAUCGAAAUUCACAUUUACGUGAAUUUCCUCGAGUCUAACAUCUAAUUUCCAAUCUCUAACUUCUAGGAUAGUGGCGGACGGGUGAGUAACACGUGAGCAACCUGCCCGACAACCCGGGAUAACAGCGGGAAACCGUUGCUAAUACCGGAUACUCCAGUUCUAACGCAUGUUAUAACUGGGAAAGGGUUUACCGAUGUCGGAUGGGCUCGCGACCCAUUAGCUUGUUGGUGGGGUAACGGCCUACCAAGGCUGCGAUGGGUAGCUGGUCUGAGAGGACGAUCAGCCACACUGGAACUGAGACACGGUCCAGACUCCUACGGGAGGCAGCAGUGGGGAAUAUUGCACAAUGGGCGAAAGCCUGAUGCAGCGACGCCGCGUGGAGGAUGAAGGCCUUCGGGUCGUAAACUCCUGUCUGGGGGGAUGAAUAAUGACAGCACCCCCCGGAGGAAGCCCCGGCUAACUUCGUGCCAUGCACCCCGGUAAUACGUAGGGGGCAAGCGUUGUCUGGAAUUACUGGGCGUAAAGCGGGCGCAGGUGGCUUGUUUAGUCAGGUGUCAAAAUGGGGGGAUCAACUCCGCAGCGCACUUGAAAGUAGCAGGCUUGAGUGCAGGAGAGAAAAGUAGAAUUCCUAGUAUAGCGGUGAAAUGCGUAGAUAUUAGGAGGAACACCAGUGGCGAAGGCGACUUUCUGGACUGCAACUGACACUGAGGCGCGAAAGCUAGGGGAGCAAACAUAAAGUAGAUACCCUGGUAGUCCUAGCCGUCAACG